rnacentral:snRNA from 1 species
CCAGGUUAGAUUCAUCUCUU